rnacentral:misc_RNA from 1 species
GAAAAAAAUGGGAUAAGAAAAAAAAGGGGCUUUUAGAGUGAAAAGAGGGAGUGAUAAGAAAACGAAUAGGAACUCAAGGAAGGAGUUUGAAAUUUGGAAAAUAAAAGGAAGAAUCCAAGAUCCCUUGGUUAAGUAAACAAAGAAGAAAGUUAUUUUAUAGGGAUUUGAAGGAAGCAAAAAAAGAGAAGAGAAAGAGACAAAGGGAAGCAGAAACCAUAUCUGAAAUGAAGAGAAAGGAAAGGAAGAGCAAGAAGGAAAGAGACCCACAAAAGCUGAUACUUGCAGUAUUGUUUUCAAAUGUUGAAGGCAACAUUUUGAUUGAGCAGUAUGCGUAAAUCUCCUGCUCAUUUCCUAUAAUUAUACAACUCUUUUUCUUUAUGUAUUAUAGUCUCUUUAGAUCAAUUAAAACUUAUUUUUGAGCUAUUGUGUCCUUAUUUUUUGUUUAAUUUUUCUGAUUUUGGGUAGAUUUUGCUUGGUUUUGAUUGCGAUUUGGCUAGAUCUUGCUGGGUUUUUGUUGAAUUUGAAUUAUAUGAUUAGGGUUUCCAUUAUAUUUUUCUCAAAAUUAGUAGUGAUUUAUAUGCCCUACUAUUGAUUUGUGCCUUUCUAUGUUGAGAAAAUAAUAUUUUUUUGAUAGAAAAUUUGAGG